rnacentral:rRNA from 1 species
GACGAACGCUGGCGGCGUGCUUAACACAUGCAAGUCGAACGGAAAGGCCCUGCUUUUGUGGGGUGCUCGAGUGGCGAACGGGUGAGUAACACGUGAGUAACCUGCCCUUGACUUUGGGAUAACUUCAGGUAACUGGGGCUAAUACCGGAUAGGAGCUCCUGCUGCAUGGUGGGGGUUGGAAAUUUUCGGCGUGUUGGGAUGGACUCGCGGCUUAUCAGCUUGUUGGUGGGGUAGUGGCUUACCAAGGCUUUGACGGGUAGCCGGCCUGAGAGGGUGACCGGCCACAUUGCGACUGAGAUACGGCCCAGACUCCUACGGGAGGCAGCAGUGGGGAAUAUUGCACAAUGGGCGGAAGCCUGAUGCAGCAACGCCGCGUGCGGGAUGACGGCCUUCGGGUUGUAAACCGCUUUCGCCUGUGACGACGCGUGAGUGACGGUAAUGGGUAAAGAAGCACCGGCUAACUACGUG